GGAUGAACGCUAGCUACAGGCUUAACACAUGCAAGUCGAGGGGAAACGGCAUCGAAAGCUUGCUUUUGAUGGGCGUCGACCGGCGCACGGGUGAGUAACGCGUAUCCAACCUGCCCAUCACUUGGGAAUAACCUUGCGAAAGUAAGACUAAUGCCCAAUGACAUCCCACGAAGGCAUCCGAAUGGGAUUAAAGAUUUAUCGGUGAUGGAUGGGGAUGCGUCUGAUUAGCUUGUUGGCGGGGUGACGGCCCACCAAGGCAACGAUCAGUAGGGGUUCUGAGAGGAAGGUCCCCCACAUUGGAACUGAGACACGGUCCAAACUCCUACGGGAGGCAGCAGUGAGGAAUAUUGGUCAAUGGGCGAGAGCCUGAACCAGCCAAGUAGCGUGCAGGAUGACGGCCCUAUGGGUUGUAAACUGCUUUUAUAAGGGAAUAAAGUGGGUCACGUGUGACUUUUUGCAUGUACCUUAUGAAUAAGGACCGGCUAAUUCCGUG
rnacentral:rRNA from 1 species